GUUUUUCUUCUCCUCACUCGUCGUCACUAUUUUCAGGUUUAACCAUAUCUUUUCUUCUUGCAGUUACCUACACAUUUCCUACAUCUAUCACCAGCAUUUCUCAGUCAUCCACUGCUGCUUCUGGUUCUCAACUGAUCAGGAAUUGUCCCAGUCAUGAGGAAUCCAUCUUCACAAACUGCAAGUGACAGAGAAGUUGACCAGAG